GCCUACGGGGGGCAGCAGUGGGGAAUAUUGCGCAAUGGGCGAAAGCCUGACGCAGCGACGCCGCGUGAGGGAUGGAAGUCUUCGGAUCGUAAACCUCUGUCAGCAGGGAAGAACGGUCACUGUGCUAAUCAGCAGUGAAUUGACGGUACCUGCAAAGGAAGCACCGGCUAACUCCGUGCCAGCAGCCGCGGUAAUACGGAGGGUGCGAGCGUUAAUCGGAAUUACUGGGCGUAAAGCGCUCGUAGGCGGUAUGUCAAGUCAAGGGUGAAAUCCCCGCGCUCAACGUGGGAACUGCCUUUGAAACU
rnacentral:rRNA from 1 species